rnacentral:rRNA from 1 species
UAACCUGCCCAAGAGACUGGGAUAACACCUGGAAACAGAUGCUAAUACCGGAUAACAACACUAGACGCAUGUCUAGAGUUUAAAAGAUGGUUCUGCUAUCACUCUUGGAUGGACCUGCGGUGCAUUAGCUAGUUGGUAAGGUAACGGCUUACCAAGGCAAUGAUGCAUAGCCGAGUUGAGAGACUGAUCGGCCACAUUGGGUCUGAGACACGGCCCAAACUCCUACGGGAGGCAGCAG